rnacentral:rRNA from 1 species
UACGGGAGGCAGCAGUGGGGAAUAUUGCACAAUGGGCGCAAGCCUGAUGCAGCCAUGCCGCGUGUAUGAAGAAGGCCUUCGGGUUGUAAAGUACUUUCAGUCGUGAGGAAGGUGUUAAGGUUAAUAACCUUAGCAAUUGACGUUAGCGACAGAAGAAGCACCGGCUAACUCCGUGCCAGCAGCCGCGGUAAUACGGAGGGUGCGAGCGUUAAUCGGAAUUACUGGGCGUAAAGGGCACGCAGGCGGUUAAUUAAGUUGGAUGUGAAAUCCCCGGGCUUAACCUGGGAAUGGCAUUCAAGACUGGUUAGCUAGAGUCUUGUAGAGGGGGUAGAAUUCCAUGUGUAGCGGUGAAAUGCGUAGAGAUGUGGAGGAAUACCGGUGGCGAAGGCGGCCCCUGGGACAAAGACUGACGCUCAUGUGCGAAAGCGUGGGGAGCAAAC